rnacentral:lncRNA from 1 species
UCAGCAAACUUAAGUGGAAAUAUGUUUGUUUUUUCAUUCACAUUUGCUGUGCCAAGCAGUUGGAGGGAAUCAAUGGUUUGGUUGUCUAGUGGAAAGAGGAAAUGGGCACGUUGUGGCAUUUAAUGCUUUGGUGGUGAGGUGGGGAGUGUUACAGGAAUUAAAUUCCUCUAUGUUUUAAUACCCAAUUAAAAUUAAACACUCUGUCAAUUCAUAAGAGUUUGUAAGACCCUUAUUUGUAUAAAAUGGACAGAGACCAGUCUUUGAAAUCAACCAGCUGUGUUUAUUCUCGUGAGUACUGCCCAUGAUACAUUUUAUCACAGGUUAUAAACUGAAAAUGACAUCAGCGUUUUCUAAACUGUUCCGUCUCUUCUUGACACUGGUACAAAGGUUGUAUAGUUCUCAAGCCUUCCCACAUCGUCUAGAGCCAAGGCCAGCCUGUGUAGAUAAGCAUUCUAGCCAGUCUGGCGAUAUAGUUCAUUCAUUUCUACCAAGGAACAGACAGUCAUUGUUCUAAUUCUUGAUUAUAUUUACACACAUUAUAUUCAGUACUAGGAUUAAAAAGAAAAUUCAUACAUAUACAGUAACAUAAUAGUAUUCUGAUUAGUCAGUCCUGAUUGAAAUGUAUACAUAAUUAGUCAUUAUUGAUAAAAUUCCCUUAACAGGGAGCCAAGCUGUAGCUUCAGCUCUGAAAUAUGGCAACAUCUUUUCACUGUAAUUUCAGAUGGAGAGGAGGAUGAAGGCAGUGUCCAUAGAUUUAGAAGGAGAUGUGAGGAGGAGAGAGAUGAAGAAGAGGAGGAAGAGUGUAAGGAGGAAGAGGAUCAGUAUGACAUUCUACCAGCCCCCCGGAACUCUGAGUAUCACWUCAACCAAUCAGAUGAAGACUUGACUGAUGGAGAGGACCUCUAUGACUUCCCACUGUCCAAUAGGAGGGCAAGUGACCGCCAAGAUUAUAGGGAGAUGACAGAGAGCAUCUAUGACGUCCCCAGUUCCCUAAUGAGGAAAAUGUCUGAACACACACUUGCAGAGCCUUACCCUGGAGGUGAGAUACUGGUGGAGGACAGGGGCCUCCUGGAUGACAUGAUGGCCAGUCUGGGUGGAGGGACRGUGGGCUGGAUAACAGGUGCUUCUACUGUGGAGCCCUACGGGCUGGCUCAUCAUGGCUCUUAGGACUGGUAUAUAGUAUAGACUCUGGAUAAUAUAGACUGAAUGAGUUUUCCUCAUUCAAAUUGUUCUAUAAAGCUUGACGCAUUCUGUUAGAGAUUUAAAUAUGUUUACAUUUUAUGAAAAAAAAUCUCAUUUGUCAUGAUAUUCUAUUCUAUUGACUUCUCUUUUAAUACAAUCUACUGUCAAGGAAAUACCAUAUUAAAUAACUAACUUCAUACUGUCAAAGUGUUCCACUUAGUAUAUAAUGUCAGGAGAGAGGUACUAUAGUAUUCAGGCAGACCCUAUCCUUCUUUUUUAGGAGGUAGAUCAGCUUUAAUACUGCAGAUACAUUGUGG